rnacentral:rRNA from 1 species
AUCCUGGCUCAGAUUGAACGCUGGCGGCAGGCCUAACACAUGCAAGUCGAGCGCGAAAGGCCUUCGGGUUGAGUAGAGCGGCGGACGGGUGAGUAACGCGUAGGAAUCUACCUGGUAGUGGGGGACAACUCGGGGAAACUCGAGCUAAUACCGCAUACGCCCUGAGGGGGAAAGCGGGGGAUCUUCGGACCUCGCGCUAUUGGAUGAGCCUGCGUUGGAUUAGCUGGUUGGUGGGGUAAAGGCCUACCAAGGCGACGAUCCAUAGCUGGUCUGAGAGGAUGAUCAGCCACACCGGGACUGAGACACGGCCCGGACUCCUACGGGAGGCAGCAGUGGGGAAUAUUGCGCAAUGGGGGCAACCCUGACGCAGCCAUGCCGCGUGUGUGAAGAAGGCCUUCGGGUUGUAAAGCACUUUCACUUGGGAAGAAACGCUGUCGGUUAAUACCCGCCAGAAUUGACAUUACCUUGAGAAGAAGCACCGGCUAACUCCGUGCCAGCAGCCGCGGUAAUACGGAGGGUGCGAGCGUUAAUCGGAAUUACUGGGCGUAAAGCGCGCGUAGGCGGUUUGUUAAGUCGGAUGUGAAAGCCCCGGGCUCAACCUGGGAAUUGCACCCGAUACUGGCCGACUGGAGUGCGAGAGAGGGAGGUAGAAUUCCACGUGUAGCGGUGAAAUGCGUAGAUAUGUGGAGGAAUACCGGUGGCGAAGGCGGCCUCCUGGCUCGACACUGACGCUGAGGUGCGAAAGCGUGGGGAGCAAACGGAUUAGAUACCCUGGUAGUCCACGCCGUAACGAUGUCGACUAGCCGUGGGGAACUGAGUCUUGGUGGGCAGUUACGCGAUAAGUCGACCCCUGGGGAGUACGGCCGCAGGUUAAACUCAAAAAAUUGACGGGGGCCCGCCAAGCGGUGGAGCAUGUGG